GACGAACGCUGGCGGCGUGCUUAACACAUGCAAGUCGAACGAAGAGCGAUGGAAGCUUGCUUCUAUCAAUCUUAGUGGCGAACGGGUGAGUAACGCGUAAUCAACCUGCCCUUCAGAGGGGGACAACAGUUGGAAACGACUGCUAAUACCGCAUACGAUCUAAUCUCGGCAUCGAGGAUAGAUGAAAGGUGGCCUCUACAUGUAAGCUAUCACUGAAGGAGGGGAUUGCGUCUGAUUAGCUAGUUGGUGGGGUAACGGCCCACCAAGGCGAUGAUCAGUAGACGGUCUGAGAGGAUGAACGGCCACAUUGGGACUGAGACACGGCCCAGACUCCUACGGGAGGCAGCAGUGGGGAAUCUUCCGCAAUGGACGAAAGUCUGACGGAGCAACGCCGCGUGAGUGAUGACGGCCUUCGGGUUGUAAAGCUCUGUUAAUCGGGACGAAAGGCCUUCUUGCGAAUAGUGAGAAGGAUUGACGGUACCGGAAUAGAAAGCCACGGCUAACUACGUG
rnacentral:rRNA from 1 species